CUUUGUCUCUGAGUUUUUCUGUUAAUUUCGCCUUUUCAGCACAUUGCAUCCGUUUUUGUAGCCCUUCUUCCUUAGCUGGUAUUUCUUCCCUUUUCCAGGUAACAUCCUAGCCACGGUCGUGCCAAACCUAAAUAGUUUAUUCUUUCCUCUGGGCAGCUCUGGCCCUGAACUCCCCUUCCCCGCCCCCUCCCUCGCCUGCCAGCCAAUCCGCUGGCUGGGGGGCGUGGCCGGGCCCCAUUUAAACCGAGGCGCGAGCCGGAGAGCUUCCUCCAACUGCCGGCUUCUGCCUUCCUCGGUCUUCCUCGCUGGGGCUUGGCUCACUCUGCCGCUGCGGGCAGAGCUGCUGCCCCAACCCCCGAGCUACAGCGGAGAGCAGAUCUGGGGGCGCCCUUAGCCGCUCUGCCGCUGCGACGGGAGGGAAACCCGCCAUUUGGAGCCCUCAUUACACCCCCUUCUACUCUUAAGUUGCCCAGCUGUGUGAGUGAAGGGCAAGGGGCUGCUUCGUGGCUCUGCGCAGCCACUGGGACCUUUCCUCAGACCUAAGAAUGUGUGUGUGUGUGUCCCGCCUUCCCUGCAUCUCAUAUAGUCCAUUUGCUCCCAUUUCCUCGCUUGGCCUCCUGGGCGCCUGUCGGUCUUUGCUUGCUCUGGGAGAGCGAAGUGGGUUAAUUUCGCGGAGCUUUAGGGGGGGGGCAGUUGAUUUCCUUUCCUGACAGUUAACCCUUUCUUCGCCCACCGGCUUUUGCUGUGUUAUUCUGCAGGCUGCAGGGCUUCCUCAUAGCGAGCUUCCCUUCCUUUCCUGACAGUUAACCCAUUGGUGUUAGCCGCUCUGGGCGAGGCUUGCCACGUGACCUCCAAAAACAGACUCACCGUUAUGAGAAAGCACAUCAAAUCUAGCCUUGAAACAGAGGCCUCCUUGCACAAUAGUUGGGUUGUACCUGCCAAUCUGAAAGCAAGCAAACAUAGACACUGAACUUUCCAAGUUGCCAGAACACCUGUCAUCAAAGUUGCAUCUGCACCUGCAUCACACAAAGUUGCAUCUGCCAAGGUCUCUCCUCAAUUCUCCUUGCUUCAUGAUCCACCAUUUACUGACAGAAGAUUGGUAAGCAAUUGAUCAUGAAUUGUUAAAAAACAAAAAAACAUAAACACCACCCUACAUAGCAAGCUCCACAGCAUGUUUCCCCCAUAAGGUCACCUUGUCUGUUACCUUUGCCGGGAGAAUUGCUCCUCCAGUAGUGUCUGGAAUGCAGACAGACAAGGUGCAUAGAGAGACUUCUCACACCAGUGAGUGGGAACGCUAGGAGGAGAAGCAGGCACUGGAUUCAGCUGACCUAGACACACAACAGUGGUGCAUCAAGUGAGCAUCUUCCCAGCAACAGCACAUUGACGUGGUGCUUGAAAUGGUCCUUUGGUCCAAUGGUGGAGUUAAGAAUCAAGCUCAGUCACUGAAGUCGCCCCCCUCCCAUGCUAAUACUUUGGCUUAAGAAAAAGGGAGCCAGUCGUUAUUUGGGCAAUGUAGGAUAGAGAGGGAUAGCAAGACAGAGAGGGAUAGCAGUUGCAUUGGAAGAAAGCAUGGAUACCGCAGGGGCUUGAACUCUGUCCUGGGAACCAGGAGUACCAACCACCAGUGUCUUUUGCUUUUUUUUUGAGCAAUGCAACAAAGGGAAAAGCAAAACCUGAGAGAACAUUCACGGGGGCGGGGGGACCUUAAGAUGUUAAGAAGAGCUCUUUGGAGAGAACUGUGGAGAGAGCAACAGAAAAGAAAAUGGGGAAAAGGAGACACCAAUACAAAAAACAUUGUCUUGAAAAAAGACCACUGAGUGGUGGAAUGUGAACUUACCUAAAGCAGCACAGCCCAAAUGCAGGUGACUCUCACUUCAGGUACAGUGAACUCUUGAAAACUUGAAGGAAAGAGGAGCUGGAACAAAAGAAGUGUUCUCUCACCUGCAGGUGAGCCUCCUUGUGGUAACAUGGAAUAGGGCCUCUUCUGACAACUUAGUCACCGCAACCCGAUAAGAGUUUUGGCACAAUGAGUUGCAGACAGAACACAGUAGAGAUUUUCUCCCUAGCCAAGAAAGGCAUACUCUGGGAAGCCUGAAGGAAAGAAGAGAUGGAACAAUAGAAGAAGUGUUCUCCUACCUGCAGGUGAACCUUUUCUUACCACCAUGACUUCUGGGAUGCAGCUGGAAGAGCUGGCUUCAUUUGAGGGUUGGGAGCUCUUUGGAGAUACCUGUGAAGAGACCACCAGAAAAGAAAACGGGGAACAGGAGAGACCAAUACAAAAAACAUUGUCUUGGAAAAAAUAACCACUGAGUGGUGGAAUGUGAACUUACCUAAAGCAGCACAGUCCAAAUGCAGGUGACUCACGUCAGGUAUUGUGAACUCUUGGAAACUUGAAGAGCUGCAACAAAAGAAGAAGUCUCCUACCUGCAGGUGAGCCUCAUUGUGGUGACAUGGAAUAGGGCAUUUUCUGACAAUUCAGUCACCUCAACCUGAAAGAGUCUUAGCACAAUGAGUUGCAGACGGAACACAAUAGAGAUUUUCUCCCUAGCCAAGCAAGGCAUAUUCUGGGAAGCCUGAAGGAAAGAAGAGAUGGAACAAUAGAAGAAGUGUUCUCCUACCUGCAGGUGAACCUUUUCUUACCACCAUGACUUCUGGGACUCAGCUGGAAGGGCUGGCUUCAUUUGAAGGUUGGGAGCUCUUUGGAGAUACCUGUGAAGAGACCACCAGAAAAGAAAAUGGGGAAAUGGAGAGACCAAUACAAAAAACAUGUUCUUGGGGGGGGGAGACCACUGAGUGGUGGAAUAUGAACUUACCUAAAGCAGAACAUUCCAAAUGCAGGUGACUCACUUCAGGUACAGUGAACUCUGGGAAGCCUGAAGGAAAGAAAAGAUGGAACAAAAGAAGUCUUCUCCUACCUGCAGGUGAGCCUCAUUGUGGUGACACAGAAUAGGGCUUCUUCUGAAAACUCGGUCACCGCAACCUGAAAGAGUCUUUGCACAAUGUGUUGCAGACAGAACACAAUAAGAGACUUUCUCCCUAGCCUAGGGAGGCAUACUCACCUAAAUGUCCUUCAGUCAUGGAAUGCCAUUUUGACUGCCAUUUUUGUUUCAAGCUGGAUGAGCCUUUGAUCUAGAGGGGCACAACAGAGAGAUGAGAUUCAGACUUAAACCUGCCGUUAAGCUUGGUAUGAAAGAAGGAAAACUGUUCACCCUUUUGUUUGUCCAUCUGAGGGUGACAUUGUGUCCUGCGGAUCCCAUUCUUGGUCUGCGAUCUAGAGUCGCUAGUUUCUCCCCAGCCACCUUCCACCAAUCCUACAGAAAAUGAAUUUCAAAAAAACAAACACCUUUUCUUACCACUAUGACUUCUGGGACUCUGCUGGAGGAGCUGGCUUCAUUUGAGGGUUGCGAGCUAUUUGGAGAGACCUUUGAAGACACCACCACAAACAAAAAUGGGAAAAAGGAGAGACCGAUACAAAAAAAAUUGUCUUGAGAAAAGACCACUGAGUGGUGGAAUGUGAACUUACCUAAAGCAGCACAGCCCAAAUGCAGGUGACUCUCACUUCAGGUACAGUGAACUCUGGGAAGUGUGAAGGAAAGAGGAGCUGGAGCAAAAGGAGUGUUCUACCUGCAGGGGAGCCUCAUUGUAGUGACACAGAAUAGGGCUUCUUCUGACGAUUCAGUCACCGCAACCUGAAAGAGUCUUAGCACAAAGAGUCGCAGAUGGAACACAAUAGAGAUUUCCUCUCUAGCCUGAGAUCCAGAAACACUAGUUUGUCCUACCAGCAGGUGAACCUCAUUGUGGUAACACAGAAUAGGACCUACUCUGUAGUGGCACCCUGAUGGCAGAAGUUCCUUCGAUUGGAAGCACAGAUGAUGACCACAUUGGUUUUUCAAGUUCUCUUGUGGAAAAAAAUGAUUGAAUGAACAGGAUUGCUCAGUACAGGCCCCUUGGGAACCUUCAUUUGUAUUUUAUGUGUUACUACAUUUAUAUCCUACCUUUCAUCCAAUGAGCUGAAGGUGGUGUGAUGGUUGUAUCGUGACCAAAAAGAGCCUUAGCAGAAAGAGCUGCGGAUGGAACACAAUGUAAAAUUUCUUUUCAGCGAAGCAAGAGAUGCUCGCCCAGAUGCCAUUAAUUCAGAAUGCAUCUGUAUUGUUACUAUCGUUAUGAUCUAGCAUUCAGACAUCACUUGUUAGGUAUUUGUGUGUGUUGCCACCUCUGAAAAUUCAAGAGUAUUUGAUAGUUACCUUCCUUCAACAAGUGAGAUGUUAUAGGCAAAACAAGCAAUUAGUUAGAUCUAGUUUUUAAAUCGUUAUUUUAAAAGUAUCACCUUGAAAACGGAAGUACUGGAGAUGAUCCAAGGUUUAAUAUGAUAGAGUCAAUGCUGUGUGAGCUAUGAACUAAAUAGCUUUUCCUAGAAGUUGCUUAGCAAAAAUAAAACAAUUUUUAAAUCCAAAA